rnacentral:rRNA from 1 species
AUUGAACGCUGGCGGCAUGCCUAACACAUGCAAGUCGAACGGCAGCACGGCAGUAGCAAUACUGUGGGUGGCGAGUGGCGGACGGGUGAGGAAUACGUCGGAAUCUGCCCAGUCGUGGGGGAUAACUAGCCGAAAGGUUAGCUAAUACCGCAUACGACCGAGAGGUGAAAGCGGGGGACCGCAAGGCCUCGCGCGAUUGGAUGAGCCGACGUCGGAUUAGCUAGUUGGUGGGGUAAAGGCCCACCAAGGCGACGAUCCGUAGCUGGUCGUGAGAGGAUGAUCAGCCACACUGGAACUGAGACACGGUCCAGACUCCUACGGGAGGCAGCAGUGGGGAAUAUUGGACAAUGGGCGCAAGCCUGAUCCAGCAAU